GACGAACGCUGGCGGCGUGCUUAACACAUGCAAGUCGAACGGUGAAAGCGGAGCUUGCUCCGCUGGAUCAGUGGCGAACGGGUGAGUAACACGUGGGCAACCUGCCCCUCACUUCGGAAUAACUCCGGGAAACCGGGGCUAAUACCGGAUAUGACCUCCUUGGGCAUCCUUGGAGGUGGAAAGGUUUUCGGUGAGGGAUGGGCCCUCGGCCUAUCAGCUUGUUGGUGAGGUAGUGGGCCACCAAGGCGACGACGGGUAGCCGGCCUGAGAGGGCGACCGGCCACACUGGGACUGAGACACGGCCCAGACUCCUACGGGAGGCAGCAGUGGGGAAUAUUGCGCAAUGGGCGAAAGCCUGACGCAGCAACGCCGCGUGCGGGAUGACGGCCUUCGGGUUGUAAACCGCUUUCAGCAGGGAAGAAGCCGCAAGGUGACGGUACCUGCAGAAGAAGCACCGGCUAACUACGUGCCAGCCGCCGCCGUAA
rnacentral:rRNA from 1 species